CUUCAUUACCAUUAAAAAUAACACUCUCCAACUCGGACUCAUGAUAAAUUAACAAUCUCAAGCAGCCCAACGCCUUCAAGAAUAUCAAAUAAGUCUCCAACGGUGUUCCAUAUUUUUUAUUCUCCUCUACAAUAACUAUUUAAUUUUCUUGAUAAAAGAUGAAUGAAAAUCAAUUCUUCAACUCAUUGUGGAGUUAUUUUAUUCAUUUUCAUAGAAUACACAAAUGAGUAAGUUCUCCAUGUUAAUAAAUAAAUAAUAUUUAUUUUUCAAUAAGUUGUUAUUAAUAUUAAUAUUAAUAAUAAUAAUAAUUAGCAAAAAAGGGCAUCUUUGUCAGAAAUAAUAUAAUAAGUAUUAAAGAGUUCAAAAUCAAUAAAACUCUUCUCCGUCACAUUUUCUAAGGUAUCCGAUACGCAUCGAAAAUAUAAAAUAAUUAAAAAUAAGUAUCCGGUAUGUAUUGAAGAGUGUUCAAGCGCAUCAAAUUAGGAUGCAUAUCAGACGGGUACGCAAUAAGUUUACAAACAUCCGUGCUUCUUAGCAUAUCAUUAUAGACAUUAUUAGCUUUGUAAACCACAUAAAGAACUUGAGAUUAACCAACGGAACAUUUUCCUUCCUGCAACAAGUUUGGCCUCUUAUAGAGAGAGUUAAAUCUGACGAUUCUAUUAUAUAAAGUAGUCUCGUCAUCACCCCCGGGCAAUACCUUGAGAAAAACUAAAGGAAGGAAAAAAAUAAAAAUAAUAAUAAUAAUAAUAAUAAUAAUAAUAAAAUAAAAAAUCGUUGAUGAAGACAGAGAGAAAAAAGCAGUCAAUUAAACACCUUGAGUGUAUGUCACAUAGAUCUUAUGUUCAACUCUGUAACAUACGAAUUCUACCCACCACCCACCAGCCCAAAAAUUUAUCCCCACCGCCCCCACCAAUAAAAAUUUUAAAAACAAAAAAGUGUGCGCCAAAAAAAACAGAGAAAACAUGAUAGAAAAAUGGAAGAUCAGGUAAGAAAGGUACAGGGAGGAAGAGAAGCUCACAUUUGGACCACGAAUACAAGAAGUGAUAUUCAAGGAUGGAUUUGCCUCAAAGCCCAAAAACACACAAGCAGUCAAUAAAGGAUUAACCUGAAGCAAAAGAUGUCAAUAAUUUUGGGCU
rnacentral:lncRNA from 1 species